GAAUGAACGUCUACGUCGACGAGAACGGAACUGUCAUGGACGUCAAGCAUGGCUGAGCUUCCUGCAUGUAGAUAGAUAGAUUAUCUCGGAUGCAGUGAGGGCGAUAAUGAUGACGGAUAACGACCUCAGUGGUGAGGUUCCAGGGUUCCAGGUGAUGGCUAAUACCUGUAAUUAAUUCGCCAUCCAUGGGUUGAUCAAUAUAAGAGGGUUUCAUC
rnacentral:snoRNA from 1 species